rnacentral:rRNA from 1 species
GACGAACCGUCCGAACGUUAUUCGGAAUCACUGGGCUUAAAGCGUUCGUAGGCGGGCUUGCAGGCGCGUUGUGAAAGCCCCCGGCUCAACCGGGGAACUGCUUCGCGAACCGCAAGUCUUGAGUCAAGUAGGGGCGGUCGGAACGAUAGGUGGAGCGGUGAAAUGCGUAGAUAUCUAUCGGAACGCCAAAGGUGAAGACAGGCCGCUGGGCUUGUACUGACGCUGAGGAACGAAAGCGUGGGGAGCAAACGGG